AUUGAACGCUGGCGGCAGGCCUAACACAUGCAAGUCGAGCGGUAACACAGGGAGCUUGCUCCUGGGUGACGAGCGGCGGACGGGUGAGUAAUGUCUGGGAAACUGCCUGAUGGAGGGGGAUAACUACUGGAAACGGUAGCUAAUACCGCAUAACGUCGCAAGACCAAAGAGGGGGACCUUCGGGCCUCUUGCCAUCAGAUGUGCCCAGAUGGGAUUAGCUAGUAGGUGGGGUAAUGGCUCACCUAGGCGACGAUCCCUAGCUGGUCUGAGAGGAUGACCAGCCACACUGGAACUGAGACACGGUCCAGACUCCUACGGGAGGCAGCAGUGGGGAAUAUUGCACAACGGGCGCAAGCCUGAUGCAGCCAUGCCGCGUGUAUGAAGAAGGCCUUCGGGUAGUAAAGUACUUUCAGCGGGGAGGAAGGUGUUGAGGUUAAUAACCUCAGCAAUUGACGUUACCCGCAGAAGAAGCACCGGCUAACUCCGUGCCAGCAGCCGCCGUAAGAC
rnacentral:rRNA from 1 species